GAUGAACGCUGGCGGCGUGCUUAACACAUGCAAGUCGAACGGAAAGGCCCAAGCUUGCUUGGGUCCUCGAGUGGCGAACGGGUGAGUAACACGUGGGUGAUCUGCCCUGCACUUCGGGAUAAGCCUGGGAAACUGGGUCUAAUACCGGAUAGGACCACUUCUUGGAUGUUGUGGUGGAAAGUUUUUUCGGUGUGGGAUGAGCUCGCGGCCUAUCAGCUUGUUGGUGGGGUAAUGGCCUACCAAGGCGUCGACGGGUAGCCGGCCUGAGAGGGUGUACGGCCACAUUGGGACUGAGAUACGGCCCAGACUCCUACGGGAGGCAGCAGGGGGGAAUAUUGCACAAUGGGCGCAAGCCUGAUGCAGCGACGCCGCGUGGGGGAUGACGGCCUUCGGGUUGUAAACUCCUUUCGCUAGGGACGAAGCGUUUUGUGACGGUACCUGGAGAAGAAGCACCGGCUAACUACGUG
rnacentral:rRNA from 1 species